CAUGCAAGUCGAACGGAAAGGCCCUUCGGGGUGCUCGAGUGGCGAACGGGUGAGUAACACGUGGGUGAUCUGCCCUGCACUUUGGGAUAAGCCUGGGAAACUGGGUCUAAUACCGGAUAGGACUACGCACUGCAUGGUGUGUGGUGGAAAGCGUUUGCGGUGUGGGAUGGGCCCGCGGCCUAUCAGUUUGUUGGUGGGUGAUGGCCUACCAAGGCGACGACGGGUAGCCGGCCUGAGAGGGUGUCCGGCCACACUGGGACUGAGAUACGGCCCAGACUCCUACGGGAGGCAGCAGUGGGGAAUAUUGCACAAUGGGCGCAAGCCUGAUGCAGCGACGCCGCGUGAGGGAUGACGGCCUUCGGGUUGUAAACCUCUUUCACUAGGGACGAAGCGGAAGUGACGGUACCUAGAGAAGAAGCACCGGCCAACUACGUGCCAGCAGCCGCGGUAAUACGUAGGGUGCGAGCGUUGUCCGGAAUUACUGGGCGUAAAGAGCUCGUAGGUGGUUUGUCGCGUUGUUCGUGAAAACUCACA
rnacentral:rRNA from 1 species